rnacentral:rRNA from 1 species
AAGAGACAGCAGUCGCCACGGGAAUACAGAGGGUGCGAGCGUUAAUCGGAUUUACUGGGCGUAAAGCGUGCGUAGGCGGCUUCUUAAGUCGGAUGUGAAAUCCCUGAGCUUAACUUAGGAAUUGCAUUCGAUACUGGGAAGCUAGAGUAUGGGAGAGGAUGGUAGAAUUCCAGGUGUAGCGGUGAAAUGCGUAGAGAUCUGGAGGAAUACCGAUGGCGAAGGCAGCCAUCUGGCCUAAUACUGACGCUGAGGUACGAAAGCAUGGGGAGCAAACAGGAUUAGAUACCCGGGUAGUCCCUGUCUCUUAUAC